GUUCCUAAAGUCGGCAAUUUUUUUGUCGUGUUGGGGUCUUCAAAGUCAGAUAAACCUGCCCUCAGGGAGGGCGGGAAUGGUUACCUUAAUAUUUUUUUUAAAAUAAAUUAAAAUAAUGUUAUUUUAAUAUUUUUUAAAAAAUUAAUGAUUUUUUAUUAAUUUUUAACUUGGUUAAAUUGGAUUUUACUCCCUUCCAAUUAAUUAAAAAACUUAAUCCGAGUUAAAUUCUACAUCACUUCAGGAGACGGAUUCGGUUUCGUGGAUAAAACCAUGUUCUUGAUUUGAAAAUUGAAUAUUCGGAGGUAGGCAAAAAGGGAAACCUUUAUGAGGAGGCCACUUCAACGUGUUGACCUGUUCCACGUAACAAUCGUAUCAUCACAUACCUGCCCAUGGGAUGCGACGGUAAUCAUAUGGUGAGCUCAUGGCCAGGGCCUUUCCGGUAAGUAAAAACCCCCAUACAAAUCCAGUCCAAAAUCGAAGGUGAGCCCAGCUGUCACCAAAGACAACUUUAUUCAUCUCCAAUGGCGGGAAAACAAGAAGACCCAGAGAGAGGGGGAGAGGGAGAUGGAGAAAGUAGUGGCAGAAGCAGAGGAGCUGCCGAAGGCUAUUGUGUGCCGGAUGGUGAAGGAUGCUCUUUCCCGCUGCUCCCCUGACGAGUCUGAGAGCCUUCAUUUUCAUCCACUAUCUUUCCGCCAUGGCUAAUGACAUGCAAGGAAUCAAAGAGGCAAACAAUGAACGCAGAUGAUGUGCUUAAAGCGGUCGAAGAGAUUGAGUUUCCUGAGUUUGUUGGCCCACUCAAAGCCUCCCUUAAUGGCCAGUAGUGAUCUUUCUUGCAGUGUCAUGUCCCUUGGCACUUUGAUUUUGAAGUAUCCAAAGACCAGGCAGAAUCUUUAAGUAUGUUCGGUUUCUUGUUGUGUUUAUGUAGAAAUGAAUUCGAAAGGCAUGGGCUUGUGGUCUAAGGUUGCUUGACUACUUGUGUGUGGAUUUGUUGGGAAUGAUAGGUGGGUGGGUGCUGCAAAACCAUGCUUCACUUUGCAGCUUCAUGGCAUAUACAGGUCUGGUGUGAUCAAUUAGAUGAUGCGAAGGAGUUCGUCUGAAUUCAGAAAUAUGUGUAGUGCGAGAUAACUGAUGGAGUUUUAUAGAAUUGCAUGAAGGAUGUCAGAAAAACUUUCUGACAAAGAAUUCAUAUGUUUUCUGUGCUGUUGUAUACUUCAAGCGGUGGAAAGAAGAUAGGAUCACCGCAGACCAAAGAGGUGCAAGAGAAGAGGAACACCAGUAAAAACAAAUGAUGCUCCAUGAUAAUGCUCGAGCAACAUAAUUCUUACCUGCUGCUCGAAAUCCUAAUCUAUCUCACCUCUGGGAUGAAAUUGACAGCGUACCAGCAUCUGCUUUUCAUAGCCUGAAAACAACUCUUACUCUUAUAUCUUUCCUCGUGUUUGCUAGAGAACUCAUCAGUAGGCUCCCUUUCCUUUUCUUUUUGUGAAAAAGAAAAUGGAAUAUCAUGUCACUGCUUGCUAGUUGUAGAAACUUGCCUUACCACAGUUGAUUUUUACGGCAAUGCGAAGGGAUGGUCAUGGCUCGCAUACACGAGUACGAUCUGUUAUGGUUAUAAUCCCUUCAGCUCUGUGUUUGGCGUGUGGCUAUUGGAGGAACGUUUUGUAAGGUGGAAGUUUCAUUGGCCAUUUUCUCCCAUGAAAAGCACAGAUCCAUGCUUUUCUGAGAAGAAAAGGCGAAAGUGAUUAUAACAAGUUGCAAGCACAAGGAUGUACGCAACAUUAACAAGAAGCAAAUGUAAUGCAAACCUGACUGCGUGCUAUCAACCUCGCAAAGAACAAAUGUACACAAGUUUUCAAUAUAGAUGUACGUGUAAAAACUCACAAAAAUCAGCUCAAUUACACUACAAUAAUAAGACGGAAAAUAAAAAAAUGCUAAGAGUUUGACACUGUUGAA